rnacentral:rRNA from 1 species
AAUUCGAUUCCGUAAGUAGCGGCGAGCGAACGCGGAACAGGCCAAACCAGUGAAGUUUUCUUCGCUGGGGUUGCGGACAUAUCAUAACGAAGAGGUAUCGUAGAAGAAGAGAGUUGGAAAGCUCCGCCACAGAUGGUAACAGCCCAGUAUUUUAAACGAGAAGACUUUAGAUAUGAUCCAGAGUACCACGGGACACGUGAAACCCUGUGGGAAGCAGGAGGGACCAUCCUCCAAGCCUAAAUACUACCUAGUGACCGAUAGCGCAUAGUACCGUGAGGGAAAGGUGAAAAGAACCCCGGGAGGGGAGUGAAAUAGAACCUGAAACCUUGUGCUUACAAGCAGUCAGAGCACGUUAAAGUGUGAUGGCGUACCUUUUGUAGAAUGGUCCGGCGAGUUAUAGUCACUGGCGAGGUUAAGCAAUUCAGUUGUGGAGCCGAAGGGAAACCGAGUCUUAAUAGGGCGUCGAGUCAGUGGCCAUAGACCUGAAACCGGGUGACCUAUCCAUGAGCAGGUUGAAGUUGGUGUAAAAGCCAAUGGAGGACCGAACCCACGUUCGUUGCAAUGACCGGGGAUGACUUGUGGAUAGCGGAGAAAUUCCAAUCGAACUCGGAGAUAGCUGGUUCUCCCCGAAAUAGCUUUAGGGCUAGCGUUGUGUUAGUUUACCGGAGGUAGAGCACUGAAUUGGCUAAGGGGCGAUGAGCUUACUGAACCUUAUCAAACUUCGAAUGCCGGAUAAAUGGUGCACAGCAGUCAGACAGUGUGAGAUAAGUUUCAUUGUCAAGAGGGAAACAGCCCAGACCCACAGCUAAGGUCCCAAAUGAACGCUAAGUGGAAAACGAUGUGGGGUUGCAGAAACAACCAGGAUGUUGGCUUAGAGGCAGCCACUCAUUAAAAGAGUGCGUAAUAGCUCACUGGUCGAGUGACCCUGCGCGGAAAAUAUAACGGGGCUAAGCGUCCAACCGAAGCUUGGGAUGUCUAAGGACAUGGUAGGGGAGCGUCGUGUAUAGGGAGAAGCAUGAGCGAGAGCACAUGUGGACAGUACACGAGUGAGAAUGCCGGAAUGAGUAGCGAGAAUUAUGUGGGAAUCAUAAUGGCCGAAAAUCUAAGGUUUCUUGGGGAAGGUUCGUCCGCCCAAGGUAAGCCGGGAGCUAAGGCGAGGCCGAAAGGCGUAGUCGAUGCACAUACGGUUGAAAUUCCGUAGCCGCCGAAAUUGUUAAGCACAGGGACACAUAGAGAUAUCCGAACCCGGGCGUUGGUCGACCCGGGCGCAAGGGACCGAACAUCAGUAGGGAAGUCGGAGAUGCUCUGUGGCGAGAAAAGCUGUGUGUAUUGAUUAGGCGCCCGUACCGCAAACCGACACAGGUAGAUGAGGAGAGAAUCCUAAGGCCAACGGGAGAAGGGUUGUUAAGGAACUCGGCAAAUUGACCCCGUAACUUCGGGAUAAGGGGAGCCUCCUACGGGAGGCCGCAGUGAAUAGGCCCAAGCAACUGUUUACCAAAAACACAGGUCUCUGCUAAAUCGAAAGAUGACGUAUAGGGGCUGACGCCUGCCCGGUGCUGGAAGGUUAAGAGGAGAUGUUAGCCGCAAGGCGAAGCAUUGAAUCGAAGCCCCAGUAAACGGCGGCCGUAACUAUAACGGUCCUAAGGUAGCGAAAUUCCUUGUCAGGUAAGUUCUGACCCGCACGAAUGGCGUAACGAUUUGGGCACUGUCUCAACAGCCCGCCCGGCGAAAUUGUUGUACUGGUGAAGAAGCCAGUUACCCGCAACUAGACGGAAAGACCCCAUGGAGCUUUACUGCAGCUUAAUACUGGAAAUCGGUAAAUCAUGUACAGGAUAGGUGGGAGACUUGGAAGCCAGGGCGUCAGCUUUGGUGGAGUCACCCUUGGGAUACCACCCUUGAUUUGCUGGUUUUCUAACCUGCGGCCGUGAAUCCGGUCGGGGGACACUGUUAGGUGGGCAGUUUGACUGGGGCGGUCGCCUCCUAAAAGGUAACGGAGGCGCUCAAAGGUUCGUUCAGCACGGACGGAAACCGUGCAGUGAGUGUAAACGCAUAAACGAGCCUAACUGCGAGACCGACGGGUCGAGCAGUAACGAAAGUUGGAGUUAGUGAUCCGGCGGUAUGCAAGUGGAAGUGCCGUCGCUCAACGGAUAAAAGCUACCCUGGGGAUAACAGGCUGAUCUCCCCCAA